UUGAAAUGCAGUCUUUAGCUAUUGUGAGGGAAGCAGAGAGAUGUGCCAUUUUUCUUAGGAGUGUUUGCUGAGCAUUGCCUGUGCCAGCUCCUGUGCUCGUUCUGAGAGGGUAAGUAAGUGAUCAGGAGCUUGACCCAGUGGAGCUUGAAGUCUAGUGAGAGGCGGACACAAAGCGUCUGAACACACACUUCAUACAGAGGAGACUUUAAUAACUUUGGAGGCACUAUGAAGGUUUAACUAACGG
rnacentral:lncRNA from 10 species